UACGUAGGGUGCGAGCGUUGUCCGGAAUUACUGGGCGUAAAGAGCUCGUAGGCGGCUUGUCGCGUUGUUCGUGAAAAUUUACCGCUCAACGGUGAACUUGCGGGCGAUACGGGCAGGCUAGAGUACUGCAGGGGAGACUGGAAUUCCUGGUGUAGCGGUGAAAUGCGCAGAUAUCAGGAGGAACACCGGUGGCGAAGGCGGGUCUCUGGGUAGUAACUGACGCUGAGGAACGAAAGCGUGGGUAGCGAACAGG
rnacentral:rRNA from 1 species